rnacentral:rRNA from 1 species
AACGAACGCUGGCGGCGUGGAUAAGACAUGCAAGUCGAACGAGAGAAUUGCUAGCUUGCUAAUAAUUCUCUAGUGGCGCACGGGUGAGUAACACGUGAGUAACCUGCCCCCGAGAGCGGGAUAGCCCUGGGAAACUGGGAUUAAUACCGCAUAGUAUCGAAAGAUUAAAGCAGCAAUGCGCUUGGGGAUGGGCUCGCGGCCUAUUAGUUAGUUGGUGAGGUAACGGCUCACCAAGGCGAUGACGGGUAGCCGGUCUGAGAGGAUGUCCGGCCACACUGGAACUGAGACACGGUCCAGACACCUACGGGUGGCAGCAGUCGAGAAUCAUUCACAAUGGGGGAAACCCUGAUGGUGCGACGCCGCGUGGGGGAAUGAAGGUCUUCGGAUUGUAAACCCCCGUCAUGUGGGAGCAAAUUAAAAAGAUAGUACCACAAGAGGAAGAGACGGCUAACUCUGUGCCAGCAGCCGCGGUAAUACAGAGGUCUCAAGCGUUGUUCGGAAUCACUGGGCGUAAAGCGUGCGUAGGCUGUUUCGUAAGUCGUGUGUGAAAGGCGCGGGCUCAACCCGCGGACGGCACAUGAUACUGCGAGACUAGAGUAAUGGAGGGGGAACCGGAAUUCUCGGUGUAGCAGUGAAAUGCGUAGAUAUCGAGAGGAACACUCGUGGCGAAGGCGGGUUCCUGGACAUUAACUGACGCUGAGGCACGAAGGCCAGGGGAGCGAAAGAGAUUAGAUACCCCUGUAGUCCUGGCAGUAAA